rnacentral:rRNA from 1 species
UACGUAGGGGGCAAGCGUUGUCCGGAAUCAUUGGGCGUAAAGCGCACGUAGGCGGCCCGGUAAGUCCGCUCUGAAAGUCAGAGGCUCAACCUCUGGAGGCGAGUGGAUACUGCCGGGCUAGAGUCCGGAAGAGGCGAGUGGAAUUCCUGGUGUAGCGGUGGAAUGCGCAGAUAUCAGGAGGAACACCUAUGGCGAAGGCAGCUCGCUGGGACGGUACUGACGCUGAGGAGCGAAAGCGUGGGGAGCAAACAGG